rnacentral:misc_RNA from 1 species
CGCAGCCGCGGUAAUUCCAGCUCCAAUAGCGUAUAUUAAAGUUGCUGCAGUUAAAAAGCUCGUAGUUGAAUUUCGGGAUCAAUAUGUUGGUCGUGCCUCGGUACGUACUAGCUUAUUGGUUUCUUCCUUCUGACGAACCAUAAUGUCAUUUAUUUGGUGUUAUGGGGAAUCAGGACUGUUACUUUGAAAAAAUUAGAGUGUUUAAAGCAGGCUCACGCUCGAAUACAUUAGCAUGGAAUAAUGAAAUAGGACGUUUGAUUCUAUUUUGUUGGUUUCUAGGAUCGACGUAAUGAUUAAUAGGGAUAGUUGGGGGCAUUAGUAUUCAAUUGUCAGAGGUGAAAUUCUUGGAUUUAUUGAAGACUAACUACUGCGAAAGCAUUUGCCAAGGAUGUUUUCAUUAAUCAAGAACGAAAGUUAGGGGAUCGAAGACGAUCAGAUACCGUCGUAGUCUUAACCAUAAACUAUGCCGACUAGGGAUCGGAUGAUGUUAAUUUUUAAUGACUCAUUCGGCGCCUUACGG